GGAUUUAGGGUGGAUUAAUUUUUAUCCUAUUUAUUGUCUCUAUUUACCACUUCAUUCAUGAUGGGUCGAGGGGGGUCAGGGCGAAUCAGAGCGGGAGUAAAUUUUUUGGCAGAUGUUGGGCAGAUCAGAGCGGAGCGGGGUAGGCCGGGGCAAGAGAAGAUUUUUGGCAAAAGAGCAGAGCAGAUCAAAAGAAGAAAUGAUCAUUUGCCACCUGCAUCAUUUCUUGGUGAACCGGAGCAGAUUUAGAGCGGAUUUUUUUUCUUUUUUACUUUUGACUUCGACUUACUGCUCUGGGGUGGAUUAGGCAGGACCUCCGCCACCCCAAAUCCAUUUGCAUCCCUAUUUGUAACUAUAUAUAUUUUUUUGUCUAAUAAUAGUAUUACAUAACUUUCAAUACCAAACAGGACCUUAGAUUGAAUUGUAAAUAAGAAUUUAUUAAAGAUAAAACUGUACGGAAGUUACCUAAACUAUAUACCAUUUUGAAUCAGCUAACUAACCUUUCAAAUUUUGGAUUUUACUAUCCAGACUUUCAAUUUGUUUGAUUUCUCAAAUAGUUUUAGAUGUAACAUUUGCCUCAAAGAGUGCAACUUUAUUUUAUGUGGUACAACUUAUUCUCAAAUAGGUUUAAAUGGUGCAACUUUCAUCUUAAAUAGUGUAAUUUUUAUUCUAAAUAGUAUAAAUUUUGUCUUAAAGAGUGCAACUUUAGUCUCAAAUAAUGCAACUUGUCUUUUUCUUCUUUCUUUUCUUCUUCUUGGCCUUUUCUGUAUCGCUCACAAUACAGUCUUCUCAAGAGAUUUUUUUUUACUUUUUAUUCUUUUUUCUUCCACUCUCUGUAUUUUUUUUGCUAUCGCACCCGCU
rnacentral:lncRNA from 1 species